UCAGUGGCCGAGUGGAUAACGAGAUGGCGUUUGAAGCGAAAGGUACUGGGUUCGAGUCCCAGAAUGA
rnacentral:tRNA from 1 species